rnacentral:rRNA from 1 species
UACGUAGGGGCAAGCGUUGUCCGGAUUUAUUGGGCGUAAAGAGCGUGUAGGCGGCUUCACAGGUCCACUGUGAAAACUCGAGGCUCAACCUCGAGCUGUCGGUGGAAACCGUGUGGCUAGAGUCCGGAAGAGGAGAGUGGAAUUCCCGGUGUAGCGGUGAAAUGCGCAGAUAUCGGGAAGAACACCCGUGGCGAAGGCGGCUCUCUGGG